rnacentral:sRNA from 1 species
UCGGUACCCCUCUGUGGCAUAAAGCCAAAC